AGGACGAACGCUGGCGGCGUGCUUAACACAUGCAAGUCGAACGGUGAAGCCUUUCGGGGUGGAUCAGUGGCGAACGGGUGAGUAACACGUGAGUAAUCUGCCCUUGACUCUGGGAUAACUUCGGGAAACCGUGGCUAAUACCGGAUAUGACGCAUGGUCGCAUGGUCUGUGUGUGGAAAGAUUUAUUGGUCAGGGAUGAGCUCGCGGCCUAUCAGCUUGUUGGUGGGUAAUGGCCUACCAAGGCGACG
rnacentral:rRNA from 1 species